rnacentral:rRNA from 1 species
AUGGUGAUGGGGGUCGCCUCCCUCCGCCCUCCCCUCGACGCCCUCCAUGGCAGCUGGAGGUGGGCAAGUCCGGCAAGGCAGUGUGCACCGAAUGCCAUGGGCGCAAGUCGGAAGCUGCAGGGCGAGAUCGACCGCGUGCUCAAGAAGGUCCAGGAGGGCGUCGACGUCUUCGACGGCAUCUGGAACAAGGUCUAUGACACCGCGAAUGCGAACCAGAAGGAAAAGUUCGAGGCGGACCUCAAGAAGGAGAUCAAGAAGCUGCAGCACUACCGCGACCAGAUCAAGACCUGGAUCCAGUCCAGCGAGAUCAAGGACAAGAAGAUGGAGCAAGAGCCCUCCAUGGACGACAUCGACGAGGAGGAAAUCGACUCCCCAAACAAGAUUUUGGGCUUCAUUCGUCAAAAGUUGGUGUACAAGGAACUCCAGGAGAAGAAUCCCAACGAAAAUCCGCACCCACCGCACCCAACAAUGUGUUUAGCACCCACCGCGUCGUCGAAGCCGGCCAAGUCGGGUGGAGGCAAGCAGAAGAAGUGGAGCAAGGGCAAGCAAAAGGAGAAGGUGAACAACACGGUGAUCUUCGACCAGGCCACCUACGACAAGCUGCUCACCAAGGUGCCCAAGUACAAGCAGAUCACGCCCUCCGUCCUGUCCGAGCGACUCAGGAUCAACGGGUCGCUGGCUCGCAGGGCCAUCAAGGACCUAAUGGAGAGGGGACUCAUCAGGAUGGUGUCAAUCUAG